GAAGCAUGGGCGCCAGGUGGGCGCAGAGGCAGCGGGUUCGCAGGGCUCCGACCCCCUCCUCUCGCCCACAGAGGAGAGGACCUUCUAGUGCCCCGCUCCCCCUGCUCCAGGGGUCCAGGGACCACGGCCCCGAAGACCUGCGCCCUCGACGAACAAGGGGGCUCCUGCGGCGCCAACGACAGGCGCAGCCGCCCAGCGCCACACCGCGCAGGCCCCGCCCCGCGCCGUCAACUUCUGUUUUCAAAUGGAGCAAACCUAAGUUUCCAGAACAGUUGGUCUCGCACGAGGACGAGCCAGGGCCGCAGACCCCAGGCCAGGACCAGUCACCCGCUCACGAGGCUGGCAGGACACGCCGGGAGCACCAUCCACACAUGGCACCUGUAGUGCCGUGGCCACUCUUGCCAACUGCGGGGUCAGUGGGCCAUGGGCAGCCCCCCGGGGCCCCUGCCCGCUGCCGUGGGGGUGCUGGGUGUCAGCUGGGCAGCCUGCAGGGGCUGGGGGUGCCAGGCAUAGGAAGCGGGUCUGAGCCUCUGGGGUCAGGGGGCCUGCCCGUCUGAGCCCUCGGUGGGCCUUGGGGCGCCGGGCAGCCCUGGGCCGGGCCAGCAGGGCCCUCCCCGCCACGCU
rnacentral:lncRNA from 1 species